CCUACGGGAGGCAGCAGUGAGGAAUAUUGGUCAAUGGGCGCGAGCCUGAACCAGCCAAGCAGCGUGAAGGAUGACUGCCCUACGGGUUGUAAACUUCUUUUAUAAAGGAAUAAAGUGAGGCACGUGUGCCUUUUUGUAUGUACUUUCUGAGUAAGGAUCGGCUAACUCCGUGCCAGCAGCCGCGGUAAUACGGAGGAUCCGAGCGUUAUCCGGAUUUAUUGGGUGUAAAGGGAGCGUAGAUGGGUUGUUAAGUCAGUUGUGAAAGUUUGCGGCUCAACCGUAAAAUUGCAAUUGAUACUGGCAGCCUUGAGUACAGUAGAGGUAGGCGGAAUUCGUGGUGUAGCGGUGAAAUGCUUAGAUAUCACGAAGAACUCCGAUUGCGAAGGCAGCUUACUAAACUGCCACUGACAUUGAUGCUCGAAAGUGUGGGUAUCAAACAGGAUUAGAUACCCGAGUAGUC
rnacentral:rRNA from 1 species